GUCCACGCCGUAAACGAUGAGAACUAGACGUUGGGUCGCAUGACGACUCAGUGUCGUAGCUAACGCGAUAAGUUCUCCGCCUGGGGAGUACGGUCGCAAGAUUAAAACUCAAAGGAAUUGACGGGGACCCCGCACAAGCGGUGGAGCAUGUGGUUUAAUUCGAUGCAACGCGAAGAACCUUACCUACCCUUGACAUACUGGGAAGCUCGCUUAAUAGUGAGUGUGCCUUCGGGAGCCCAGAUACAGGUGCUGCAUGGCUGUCGU
rnacentral:rRNA from 1 species